rnacentral:rRNA from 1 species
CCUACGGGUGGCAGCAGUGGGGAAUAUUGGACAAUGGGGGGAACCCUGAUCCAGCCAUGCCGCGUGUGUGAAGAAGGCCCUCGGGUUGUAAAGCACUUUCAGUGAGGAAGAACGCCUGGUGGUUAAUACCCAUCAGGAAAGACAUCACUCACAGAAGAAGCACCGGCUAACUCCGUGCCAGCAGCCGCGGUAAUACGGAGGGUGCGAGCGUUAAUCGGAAUUACUGGGCGUAAAGCGCGCGUAGGUGGCUGGAUAAGCCGGUUGCGAAAGCCCCGGGCGCAACCUGGGAACGGCAUCCGGAACUGUCAAGCUAGAGUGCAGGAGAGGAAGGUAGAAUUCCCGGUGUAGCGGUGAAAUGCGUAGAGAUCGGGAGGAAUACCAGUGGCGAAGGCGGCCUUCUGGACUGACACUGACACUGAGGUGCGAAAGCGUGGGUAGCAAACAGGAUUAGAUACCCUAGUAGUC